rnacentral:rRNA from 1 species
UACGAAGGGUGCAAGCGUUACUCGGAAUUACUGGGCGUAAAGCGUGCGUAGGUGGUUUGUUAAGUCUGAUGUGAAAGCCCUGGGCUCAACCUGGGAAUUGCAUUGGAUACUGGCAGGCUAGAGUGCGGUAGAGGAUGGCGGAAUUCCCGGUGUAGCAGUGAAAUGCGUAGAGAUCGGGAGGAACAUCUGUGGCGAAGGCGGUGAGCUGGGCAGUUGCUGCACUGGAGGCGCGACAGCGUGGGGAGCAAACAGG